GAUGAACGCUAGCGGCAGGCCUAAUACAUGCAAGUCGAGGGGUAUGGGUUGCUUGCAACCCAGAGACCGGCGCACGGGUGCGUAACGCGUAUGCAAUCUACCUUAAUCAGGGGGAUAGCCCGGAGAAAUCCGGAUUAACACCGCAUAACAUUGAGUUGUGGCAUCACAGUUCAAUCAAAUAUUUAUAGGAUUAAGAUGAGCAUGCGUGACAUUAGUUAGUUGGUGAGGUAACGGCUCACCAAGACCACGAUGUCUAGGGGAUCUGAGAGGAUGACCCCCCACACUGGUACUGAGACACGGACCAGACUCCUACGGGAGGCAGCAGUAAGGAAUAUUGGUCAAUGGGCGCAAGCCUGAACCAGCCAUGCCGCGUGCAGGAAGACGGCCCUAUGGGUUGUAAACUGCUUUUGUACCGGAAUAAACCUUCUCUUGCGAGAGAAGCUGAACGUACGGUAAGAAUAAGGAUCGGCUAACUCC
rnacentral:rRNA from 1 species